rnacentral:rRNA from 1 species
AGUGAACGCUGGCGGUAUGCCUAACACAUGCAAGUCGAACGGCAGCACAGUAAGAGCUUGCUCUUACGGGUGGCGAGUGGCGGACGGGUGAGGAAUACAUCGGAAUCUACUUUUUCGUGGGGGAUAACGUAGGGAAACUUACGCUAAUACCGCAUACGACCUACGGGUGAAAGCAGGGGAUCUUCGGACCUUGCGCGAUUGAAUGAGCCGAUGUCGGAUUAGCUAGUUGGCGGGGUAAAGGCCCACCAAGGCGACGAUCCGUAGCUGGUCUGAGAGGAUGAUCAGCCACACUGGAACUGAGACACGGUCCAGACUCCUACGGGAGGCAGCAGUGGGGAAUAUUGGACAAUGGGCGCAAGCCUGAUCCAGCCAUACCGCGUGGGUGAAGAAGGCCUUCGGGUUGUAAAGCCCUCUUGUUGGGAAAGAAAAGCAGCAGGUUAAUACCCCGCUGUUCUGACGGUACCCAAAGAAUAAGCACCGGCUAACUUCGUG